AGGGGCAUCAGGAAGAAAGCUUGCUUUCUUUGCUGGCGACCGGCGCACGGGUGAGUAACACGUAUCCAACCUGCCCUUUACUCGGGGAUAGCCUUUCGAAAGAAAGAUUAAUACCCGAUAGCAUAAUGAUUCCGCAUGGUUUCAUUAUUAAAGGAUUCCGGUAAAGGAUGGGGAUGCGUUCCAUUAGGUUGUUGGUGAGGUAACGGCUCACCAAGCCUUCGAUGGAUAGGGGUUCUGAGAGGAAGGUCCCCCACAUUGGAACUGAGACACGGUCCAAACUCCUACGGGAGGCAGCAGUGAGGAAUAUUGGUCAAUGGGCGUUAGCCUGAACCAGCCAAGUAGCGUGAAGGAUGAAGGCUCUAUGGGUCGUAAACUUCUUUUAUAUAAGAAUAAAGUGCAGUAUGUAUACUGUUUUGUAUGUAUUAUAUGAAUAAGGAUCGGCUAACUCCGUGCCAGCAGCCGCGGUAAUACGGAGGAUCCGAGCGUUAUCCGGAUUUAUUGGGUUUAAAGGGAGCGUAGGUGGACUGG
rnacentral:rRNA from 1 species